rnacentral:lncRNA from 1 species
CUGCUUUUUGCUUUGUUUCCCCUCAAACUUGUAAGUACAGAGACCAUUCAUUUUUGUGGUUUUGAUUCCAUUGUAGUGGUUGUUGGUGAUGGUCGUCUACAAAUCUGAUCAGUCUGCAGCUGAAGUUUUUCAGCUCCAAGAAGUAAGGAGGCAUCUCAGCAUGAAUAACUCUGAAAAACAAAUGGCAUUUCUGGGCAGAUCACUUAAGAAAAACGUGUGCUGGGCAAGGAAAAAGCCUUGCUGAUUCCUCUCAUUCUGUGCUGGUGGACCUACCGAUGCUCCUUAGGUGAGAAAUAUUGGCUGUGCCUUAGUUUAAGGAACUGAGUAGUCCGAGACACAAAACCCACAGAGAAGAGGUGACCGAGCUCUGGCUGCCUUGAGGGAAUGCUCCGUGCCUUCUCAGUCACAGCUCUCCAGCCUCUGCAGAAGUCUGCUUUCCAUCUGCCUCCAGAACAAACAGCCACGGGCCAUGUAGUAGCUACCAACUCCAGUCCUGCAUGGGAGUGACUCAUGUCACAGAGAAGGGCUUUUGAUCAGUCUACAGCCUCCUGGAAGCCUUAAGAGCCCAGUCCAGAAGAGCAUGAUCGUUUGGCUUCUUGACAUCCCUCCAUCACCUAAGCACAG